GACGAACGCUGGCGGCGUGCCUAAUACAUGCAAGUAGAACGCGCAGUUUAUACCGUAGCUUGCUACACCAUAGACUGUGAGUUGCGAACGGGUGAGUAACGCGUAGGUAACCUGCCUGGUAGCGGGGGAUAACUAUUGGAAACGAUAGCUAAUACCGCAUAAUAUUAAUUAUUGCAUGAUAAUUAAUUGAAAGGUGCAAUUGCACCACUACCAGAUGGACCUGCGUUGUAUUAGCUAGUAGGUGAGGUAACGGCUCACCUAGGCGACGAUACAUAGCCGACCUGAGAGGGUGAUCGGCCACACUGGGACUGAGACACGGCCCAGACUCCUACGGGAGGCAGCAGUAGGGAAUCUUCGGCAAUGGACGAAAGUCUGACCGAGCAACGCCGCGUGAGUGAAGAAGGUUUUCGGAUCGUAAAGCUCUGUUGUAAGAGAAGAACGGGUGUGAGAGUGGAAAGUUCACACUGUGACGGUAUCUUACCAGAAAGGGACGGCUAACUACGUG
rnacentral:rRNA from 1 species